GAUGAACGCUGGCGGCGUGCCUAAUACAUGCAAGUCGAGCGAACAGACGAGGAGCUUGCUCCUUUGACGUUAGCGGCGGACGGGUGAGUAACACGUGGGUAACCUACCUAUAAGACUGGGAUAACUUCGGGAAACCGGAGCUAAUACCGGAUAAUAUUUCGAACCGCAUGGUUCGAUAGUGAAAGAUGGCUUUGCUAUCACUUAUAGAUGGACCUGCGCCGUAUUAGCUAGUUGGUAAGGUAACGGCUUACCAAGGCAACGAUACGUAGCCGACCUGAGAGGGUGAUCGGCCACACUGGAACUGAGACACGGUCCAGACUCCUACGGGAGGCAGCAGUAGGGAAUCUUCCGCAAUGGGCGAAAGCCUGACGGAGCAACGCCGCGUGAGUGAUGAAGGUCUUCGGAUCGUAAAACUCUGUUAUUAGGGAAGAACAAACGUGUAAGUAACUGUGCACGUCUUGACGGUACCCAAUCAGAAAGCCACGGCUAACUACGUG
rnacentral:rRNA from 1 species